UACGUAGGGACCAAGCGUUGUUCGGAAUUACUGGGCGUAAAGGGCGCGUAGGCGGCCGCCUAAGUCAGACGUGAAAUCCCUCGGCUCAACCGGGGAACUGCGUCUGAUACUGGGUGGCUUGAAUCCGGGAGAGGGAUGCGGAAUUCCAGGUGUAGCGGUGAAAUGCGUAGAUAUCUGGAGGAACACCGGUGGCGAAGGCGGCAUCCUGGACCGGCAUUGACGCUGAGGCGCGAAAGCCAGGGGAGCAAACGGG
rnacentral:rRNA from 1 species